CUGGUUGAUCCUGCCAGUACUCAUAUGCUUGUCUCAAAGAUUAAGCCAUGCAUGUCUAAGUAUAAGCGACUAUCUGUGAAACUGCGAAUGGCUCAUUAAAUCAGUUAUGGUUUAUUUGAUGGUACCUACUACUUGGAUAACCGUAGUAAUUCUAGAGCUAAUACAUGCAGGAAGACCCGACUUCGGAAGGGUUGUAUUUAUUAGAUAAGAAACCAAUCCAGCUUGCUGGUUGCGUGCCGAGUACAAUAACUUUUCGAAUCGCAUGGCUUCACGCCGGCGAUGGUUCAUUCAAGAUUUCUGCCCUAUCAGCUUUCGAUGGUAGGAUCGAGGCCUACCAUGGCGUUUACGGGUAACGGAGAAUUAGGGUUCGAUUCCGGAGAGGGAGCCUGAGAGAUGGCUACCACAUCCAAGGAAGGCAGCAGGCGCGUAAAUUGCCCGAAUCCUGACACAGGGAGGUAGUGACAAAGAAAUAACAAUACAGGGCUACAUCUAGUCUUGUAAUUGGAAUGAUUCAAUUUACACUCUCUUAACGAGGAUCAAUUGGAGGGC
rnacentral:rRNA from 1 species